GAUGAACGCUGGCGGCGUGCCUAAUACAUGCAAGUCGAGCGAACAGACGAGGAGCUUGCUCCUCUUACGUUAGCGGCGGACGGGUGAGUAACACGUGGAUAACCUACCUAUAAGACUGGGAUAACUUCGGGAAACCGGAGCUAAUACCGGAUAACAUGUUGAACCGCAUGGUUCAACAGUGAAAGACGGUCUUGCUGUCACUUAUAGAUGGAUCCGCGCCGCAUUAGCUAGUUGGUAAGGUAACGGCUUACCAAGGCAACGAUGCGUAGCCGACCUGAGAGGGUGAUCGGCCACACUGGAACUGAGACACGGUCCAGACUCCUACGGGAGGCAGCAGUAGGGAAUCUUCCGCAAUGGGCGAAAGCCUGACGGAGCAACGCCGCGUGAGUGAUGAAGGUCUUCGGAUCGUAAAACUCUGUUAUUAGGGAAGAACAAAUGUGUAAGUAACUAUGCACGUCUUGACGGUACCUAAUCAGAAAGCCACGGCUAACUACGUG
rnacentral:rRNA from 1 species